CUCCGUAGGUGAACCUGCGGAGGGAUCAUUACACAAAUAUGAAGGCGGGCUGGAACCUCUCGGGGUUACAGCCUUGCUGAAUUAUUCACCCUUGUCUUUUGCGUACUUCUUGUUUCCUUGGUGGGUUCGCCCACCACUAGGACAAACAUAAACCUUUUGUAAUUGCAAUCAGCGUCAGUAACAAAUUAAUAAUUACAACUUUCAACAACGGAUCUCUUGGUUCUGGCAUCGAUGAAGAACGCAGCGAAAUGCGAUAAGUAGUGUGAAUUGCUGAAUUCAGUGAAUCAUCGAAUCUUUGAACGCACAUUGCGCCCUUUGGUAUUCCAAAGGGCAUGCCUGUUCGAGCGUCAUUUGUACCCUCAAGCUUUGCUUGGUGUUGGGCGUCUUGUCUCUAGCUUUGCUGGAGACUCGCCUUAAAGUAAUUGGCAGCCGGCCUACUGGUUUCGGAGCGCAGCACAAGUCGCACUCUCUAUCAGCAAAGGUCUAGCAUCCAUUAAGCCUUUUUUUCAACUUUUGACCUCGGAUCAGGUAGGGAUACCCGCUGAACUUAAGCAUAUCA
rnacentral:rRNA from 1 species